GGACAGGUGGGUGAGUUGGCUGAAACCACAUCCCUGCUAAGGAUGCAUAGCCGCAAGGUUAUCGAGGGUUCGAAUCCCUCCCUGUCCGCCA
rnacentral:tRNA from 8 species